rnacentral:rRNA from 1 species
GUCCACGCCGUAAACGAUGGAUACUAGCUGUUGGGGGCAACUUCAGUGGCUAAGCGAAAGUGAUAAGUAUCCCACCUGGGGAGUACGGGCGCAAGCCUGAAACUCAAAGGAAUUGACGGGGGCCCGCACAAGCGGUGGAGCAUGUGGUUUAAUUCGAUGAUACGCGAGGAACCUUACCAAGGCUUAAAUGUAGAUUGACCGGUUUGGAAACAGACUUUUCGCAAGACAAUUUACAAGGUGCUGCAUGGUUGUCGU